AACAUAGUGCCUGAUUAAAGGGUAGUUUUGAUAGGACUAAUCAAGUAAUUUCUAUUACCUAUGUUA
rnacentral:tRNA from 2 species